rnacentral:hammerhead_ribozyme from 1 species
AUUCAUAUGAAGAGUCCAAAAUAGGACGAAAUGUGCAUCCUCGAU